CAGUCGCCGCGGUAAUACGAAGGGGGCUAGCGUUGUUCGGAAUUACUGGGCGUAAAGCGUGCGUAGGUGGUUGUUUAAGUCUGCUGUGAAAGCCCUGGGCUCAACCUGGGAAUUGCAGUGGAUACUGGGCAACUAGAGUAAGGUAGAGGAUAGUGGAAUUUCCGGUGUAGCAGUGAAAUGCGUAGAGAUCGGAAGGAACAUCUGUGGCGAAGGCGACUAUCUGGGCCAUUACUGACACUGAGGCACGAAAGCGUGGGGAGCAAACAGGAUUAGAUACCCCGGUAGUCCCUGUCUCUUAUAC
rnacentral:rRNA from 1 species